GAUGAACGCUGGCGGCGUGCCUAAUACAUGCAAGUCGAGCGAACGGACGAGAAGCUUGCUUCUCUGAUGUUAGCGGCGGACGGGUGAGUAACACGUGGAUAACCUACCUAUAAGACUGGGAUAACUUCGGGAAACCGGAGCUAAUACCGGAUAAUAUUUUGAACCGCAUGGUUCAAAAGUGAAAGACGGUCUUGCUGUCACUUAUAGAUGGAUCCGCGCUGCAUUAGCUAGUUGGUAAGGUAACGGCUUACCAAGGCAACGAUGCAUAGCCGACCUGAGAGGGUGAUCGGCCACACUGGAACGGAGCCACGGUCCAGACUCCUACGGGAGGCAGCAGUAGGGAAUCUUCCGCAAUGGGCGAAAGCCUGACGGAGCAACGCCGCGUGAGUGAUGAAGGUCUUCGGAUCGUAAAACUCUGUUAUUAGGGAAGAACAUAUGUGUAAGUAACUGUGCACAUCUUGACGGUACCUAAUCAGAAAGCCACGGCUAACUACGUG
rnacentral:rRNA from 1 species